rnacentral:lncRNA from 1 species
GAAGUCAUGAAGUCUAACCCCCUUAUUAUACAGAUAAACAACAUGAGGACAUAGAGGUAGAGUGGUUUACCUAAGAUCUAGCCCAUAUCAAACAGCACUCAGAAUGUCAAAGGCAGGUCACCAAGGGACUAGACCCUCCCUCUGAAGAACAGUAUAUUUCUUUCUUGUAGACAACAUAUGGUAGGAUUUUCUAUCCUAAUCCACUCUCCUAUUCAUCUACGUUUUAUGGGUUCCCACAUCAGCAGAGGAAAAGGGCAAAUAGUGUGCAUGACCAGGAAAUGUGGGACAAGAAAACAAAUGAAAGGCACCCAUGGAGGAGACACAUGAACCUGAAGAGGAGACAAAUAGGGACAAGUAGGGCCAGCAUCCUUCAAAUCUCUCUCCCUGAUGAACUGUUAAAAUCAUCCGGUUAGGUCAUGAUUCU